GAUGAACGCUGGCGGCGUGCCUAAUACAUGCAAGUCGAGCGAACAGACGAGGAGCUUGCUCCUCUGACGUUAGCGGCGGACGGGUGAGUAACACGUGGAUAACCUACCUAUAAGACUGGGAUAACUUCGGGAAACCGGAGCUAAUACCGGAUAAUAUAUUGAACCGCAUGGUUCAAUAGUGAAAGACGGUUUUGCUGUCACUUCUAGAUGGAUCCGCGCCGCAUUAGCUAGUUGGUAGGGUAACGGCUUACCAAGGCAACGAUGCGUAGCCGACGUGAGGGGGGGUAGGGCGCCAGAGAAACUGACCGACGACCUUGAGACUUAGGGGAGGCAGAAGUAGGUACGGUUGGGAACAGUGGGAAAUCCUGCCGGAUGAGCGCCAGCCUGAUGCUGAAGGUCUGCGUGCGGGAUAACUGUGUUCUUGGGGAAAACCAAUUUCGCAAGUAACUAUGCACGUGUGACGGUUACCUAUUCAGAAGGCCACGCUUAAUACCUG
rnacentral:rRNA from 1 species